GCCUACGGGGGGCAGCAGUAGGGAAUUUUCGUCAAUGGGCGCAAGCCUGAACGAGCAAUGCCGCGUGAACGAGGAAGGUCUUCGGAUCGUAAAGUUCUGUUGAAGGGGAAAAAGAGCGGAGAGAGGAAAUGCUUUCUGAUUGAUAUUACCCUUCGAGGAAGUCACGGCUAACUACGUGCCAGCAGCCGCGGUAAUACGUAGGUGGCGAGCGUUAUCCGGAAUGAUUGGGCGUAAAGGGUGCGUAGGCGGCCUGCUAAGUCUGGAGGGAAAGGUACCGGCUCAACCGGUACAGGCUCUGGAAACUG
rnacentral:rRNA from 1 species